UCCACAAGGUCACUUGUGUGUAAAGGUGAUGAAUUCAAUCAAUUGUCUUCAUUUUCUGUGUACUCAAACCCUCAUGUUCAUGUUUUCAAAAUAUGGCGGUUCUGACACAAACAGCAACAACACUUAGCGUGAGCACACGAUUGCGAAAGCCACCACCUGACGCUUUCUUAUGUGGCGAGGAAGGACUCCGAGCCGCUUCCAAACAUUCCGGAUAGAUAUUCCGAGUCGAUAAACCCCGACCGUAUCGCAUUACAGUAAUGAGUCGGCAGUCGGAGGCAUAGUUAAGAGUAAACGGAUGUGAAGUGCGCUGACGCAGCAGGAGGAACGUCAUUACCGCUGCCGCCACGACAACACAACUGAAGUCUUCUCAAGUCUUCAAUCGUCUCCAAAGUCUUUCAUGCGUCAGAGCGCGAAACACACCUCGUAACCUCCGAUGAAAGUGCCCUGGAAUCAAACGCCGUGGACUGCUCAGCCCCCCUACCGCUUAACCAGCGGCAUCUGAGGAACCCGCCCUGCUAUCCUAAGCUUUCUUCUGUGUGGUGAACAAAAUCCCUUUUCUCACCGCGCUGUGCUGUUCCCUACGAUUGGGGCUGCCAUUGGAAAAUAAUUUGUGAAAUACCCGAGUAGUCUUCAAAUUUACCAGAAUCCGGUCCUCGGUUUUACCACUCUUGGUGUCGAGCUUAAUCCCGCAAAUGAACUUGAUGGUUGAUUUCUCGAUGAUCUUCUUGAUGCUGUCUGUGGAUGAAAGAGACAAAAAGAUGUCAGUGAUGUCAGUAAAUGAAGUUUUUAGAUUGUGGGCCCAAAAAGUAGUUUGGAUUGGCACCCCCCUGUAAUACAAAGGGGAGGGGUGAGCAGUGUGACACAGAACCACCCCCUCAAAAGUAAAUUCAGAUGUUCCAGACAGAAGUAUUCAACUGAGAGCGAUGACCUUGUGCCAGCCUACAGGAAGGCUCAGCGCCCCCCCUACCCCCACUCCGGCGCAGCCCGCCCCCUUUUGCCAGGAGGGUGUUUUGAAUGAAGUGAUGCUUGAUUCAAUCAUCACAGUGCGACUCUAAGAGCCAUUAGGAGUAAUUAACACAGCAGCAGCCAAUGUGUUACAAGGAUUCCAAAAUUUAGAAAAGAGCAUGGAGAUGCAUGGAACAUCUGCCUUCGAGCACCCCUCCCUCCCUUUUUCACGCACUGGAUGGCAGAAAAGAAAAUCCCACUUAAACGGCUUCCAAUCAGCUGGAAAUCUAAUCAAUUGUUUUCAUAUUAUCUUACGCUCCCCCCUGCCCUUUUAAAAGCCAAUUUUUAGUCCGUGUAGAGGUCCUUGAAUGUUCUGCUGAAUGUUCUCCCGCUGCAUGCAUCUGCACAUGCAUGCAAACAAGAUGUCACACGUAGCAAACUGCGUGUUCGGAGGAAAGGAGAGGAGAAAAGAGAAGGGGGCGCGGACGACAUGCCCGAUUGAGCCCGCAGUGAGUCGGAGGAGGGCGGGGGAUGGUUUGGGACGCAGAACCACAAGAAGACCCACCUGUGAUGUCCUUGUUCACACUAGCAAAGCCAAAAACGGUGAUCUCUCUAGCGGCCAUGACUGCAGCGGCUGGCUGCCCUGCUCCUGCUCCCUGUUCCUGCUCCUUCUCUUUUGUCUUCCUCCUCUGAUGGACGCCCUUUUGUUAUUCUUCCUCAGUCACAGACAAAAACAAUGGUCGCACUUGCAGGCAUUCCUGCAGCGCGUACGAGGU